rnacentral:lncRNA from 1 species
GGCUAGCCCCGCAGAGACUUUGCCCUGAGCCCUAUAACCAGGAGGACCAAAUGCCCUAGUUUGCCCCAGUGCUAAUUUACAUCUGUUGUCCCAGCCUAAUUAUUAACCAUGCCUCCUUGCGUUCUCUAGUGCACUGGUUUGGAUGACAAAUUUUACACGGUCACUUGGCCUUUAGCACAACGUUGAACUUACACUUGCAGAGGAGGAGGGCCUGGGAGCUGAGGGCAGAGACAGUGGGGCUGCUGGGCUUCCCUGUAGACCCCACCUCCGACCCCCUGCCUUUCAGUCAAGCCAGGGUUUCCACGGGGUGAGAUGGCUGGGCUGCAACAUUGAGACUAGAAGCCAGAACCAGGGUGAGGGGGUUGAGGGUGGAGGGGAGUGGCUGGCGGCGGGGGGGCGGGGCGGGUGGCAACGAUAGACUAAGCUUCCUCUGCCUCGGUGCCCCUCCGCUUCCCAGGAAUUUCAGGAAAAUACCUGCCAUGUGUUCCUGCGCCGCCCCAGUCCCCCGCGCCCGCGCCCGGGUGUGGAAUUUGAUGGGCUGAGGGAAGCGCGGCCAAGGCCCACGUGGCUCAGUGCCUGCCAGCAACCUCAGCUUUUCCUUCUGCUCACGGACUGUGCUGCCCAAGGUCUGAGGCGGCACUUCCAUCCCGCGGCCAUUUUUUGAGAGUGUCGCUGUGGGGGAGGGGAAUGCCAGAUGGGGUGGGGCCAAGGGGGCGUGGUGUCUCAAGGAACCUCCUGCAGGGCGGAGGAUAAGGCUCCUUCCAGGAGGGGCCCAUCUCGCCUGGCUUUCUGCAGCGCCCAGGCCCUCAGAUCACAGACGUUUUGACCUUCAGCCCUUGAUUGUGGAUCGCCUGAUGUCUUCUCUGCUGCCUCCUUCUGUACUUGUGGCACCUACUGGCAGUUUUGGUUUGUGGAGGACACACGUGGGACCUCUCUCUCACACUCUCCUGGGGGUGGAAAUGGCAGAUCCCCUCCUGGGCAGGGUGGCCCCAUUGAGGUUGAUUCUGGGGUGAGAGCCAACUUCUCUGCCUGCUGCGUAUAACUCCAACUCCGGGUCCAAAUUGGGCACAUUAUUUUGGGUACCAGGAGAACAUUCGUUGACGUGUGCCGUUCCACUAGGCAUCUCUGGGCACUUUUUCUCCAGAAGAGUAGCACUAAAUUAAAAUUCUAACUCAAGUUUACAGGCUGAUGAGUAGGAAGGCUGGGGGAGCAGGAAAGGGAGCCGAGCAGAGGGCAGACGGCAGAUGGUGUUGCGCGGCCACCUUGAUUGGUUUGGCCACAAGACAAUGCGGAAGGAUGAUUUACUAGGUGCUUCCUUCACCUUGCAUGGAUGAUACAGGCAGAUGAUGGAAUGUACUUUUGCUUUUUUUUUUCUGUAACAGAAUGCCUUUGGCAGGGAUACUUCCCAGUUAUUAAAAAUGGGGCAAUGAGGUGAGCUCUAAAUGCAAACCCCGUGUAGGAAAAUCCAGAAGAAAUAAGGAUAAGAAGAUGGAGAAAGGAAAGAUUAAAAGUCAGUGAAGAGAAGAAUAAAGAAAGAUUGUUGCAAUGGGAUGGGAAAGAU